CCCUUAGAUGUUCUGGGCCGCACACGCGCUACACUGGCAGGUUCAUCGAGCUUCAUGCCCUGAUCUGAGAAGAAUGGGAAAUCUUUGAACACCUGCCGUGCUUGGGAUAGAUGUUUGCAAUUAUUCAUCUUCAACGAGGAUUGCCUUGUAAGCGCACGUCAUCAGCGUGCAUUGAAUACGACCCUGUAUUCUGUACACACCGCCCGUCGCUCCUACCGAUUGAAGUUUUCGGUGAAUUUACUGGAGAUCCCUUUUGAAGGUGGUUCGCCACUGGAGGAAGUAUUCAAAAGUAAAUGAAUCGAAUGCUUUAGAGGAAGGAGAAGUCGUAACA
rnacentral:rRNA from 1 species